rnacentral:rRNA from 1 species
CCUACGGGUGGCAGCAGUGGGGAAUAUUGCUCAAUGGGGGAAACCCUGAUGCAGCCACGCCGCGUGAGUGAGGAAGUAUCUCGGUAUGUAAAGCUUUAUCAGCAGGGAAUAGAAAACAAGGUACCUGAAACAGAAGCCCCGGCGAACUACGGGCCAGCAGCCGCGGUAAUACGCAGGGGGCAAGCGUUAUCCGGAUUUACUGGGGGUAAAGGGAGCGUAGACGGUAAGGCAAGUCAGAAGUGAAAGCGCAAGGCUCAAACAUGGGACUGCUUUUGAAACUGGCGAACUAGAGUACGGGAGAGGUAUGAGGAAUUCGUGGUGUAGCGGUGAAAUGCGUAGAUAUUAGGAGGAACACCGGUGGCGAAGGCAUCUUACUGGACCGAAACUGACGUUGAGGCUCGAAAGCGUGGGGAGCGAACAGGAUUAGAUACCCGGGUAGUC